GUCUGACCGUUGAGAGAAGUCUGGCUGCUUUGUUGGGAGUGGAGCUUAGAACAUGGAAAAGGAAGGAAGGGCUGAGCAGAGGGGAGAACUUUCUGCUUUACCAACUGGCAUUUUCUCCUCUUUCCCCAUUGUUUUCAUGUGAUAGUGCAAUUAACUAAAUUUAGAAAUAAUGUUUUUAAAGUCACAGCUGAGGGCAAACACUGCAGCAGCGAGUGUCUUAGACAAACAAACUUUUAACAGGUCCCUUGGUGACUGAUUUAUAAGUUACAGAAAAACACCUUGGUUAAUAAAUCCCCAGGAAAUUCUG